rnacentral:rRNA from 1 species
UACGAAGGUGGCAAGCGUUGUUCGGAUUUACUGGGCGUACAGGGAGCGUAGGCGGUUGGAUAAGCCCUCCGUGAAAUCUCCAGGCUUAACCUGGAAAGUGCAGAGGGGACUGUUCAGCUAGAGGAUGGGAGAGGAGCGCGGAAUUCCCGGUGUAGCGGUGAAAUGCGUAGAGAUCGGGAGGAACACCAAUGGCGAAGGCAGCUCGCUGGAACGGUACUGACGCUGAGGCGCGAAAGCGUGGGGAGCGAACAGG